rnacentral:rRNA from 1 species
AUUGAACGCUGGCGGCAGGCCUAACACAUGCAAGUCGAGCGGAGCGGCGGACGGGUGAGUAAUGCCUAGGAAUCUGCCUGGUAGUGGGGGAUAACGUCCGGAAACGGGCGCUAAUACCGCAUACUAUCAAAUGAGCCUAGGUCGGAUUAGCUAGUUGGGUGGGUAAAGGCCUACCAAGGGGACGAUCCGUAACUGGUCUGUGAGGACUAUCAGUCACACUGGAACUUAGACACGGUCCAUACUCCUACGGGAGGCAGCAGUGGGGAAUAUUGGACAAUGGGCGAAAGCCUUAUCCAGCCCUGCCGCGUGUGUGAAGAAGGUCUUCGGAUUGUAAAGCCCUUUAAGUUGGGAGGCGUUACCAACAGAAUAAGCACCGGCUAACUUCGUGCCAGCAGCCGCUGUAAUUC